GGGGCUGAGUAGUCUCGACGGGGAGAUCCGUGGCCGACGUAAGCAGGCGGAGUUGUGAGCCCUCCUAAAACGAUCACAAGCGUUUACACGCGAACAACGAAUACGCUCUGGCUGCCUAACUUAAGUUAGCAACCACCGUCCGGAGGAGGUCGCCGAAGCCGUCCUCCAGGCGGUCAACAAGUUCGGCUAGGACGCGGAGACCGUUCCGAGAGGCGUCCGAAACUCAACCGGAACUGCGACGCGGCUGAUUCCUGUACCGAGAAGCUGACGCGCCUAAGACAAAAUCGGCACUGAGCCUGGAGAAAGCGGCGGUCCGGCUUUUCGGACCCGGGGGGCGGCUCCCCGGCAGCUCCACCA
rnacentral:tmRNA from 1 species